UGUGAGGGGUGUACUCACUUUUGUGAUAUACUGUACAGACGUACAGACAGAGCACACAAGCACACUAUAGGCUCUGGUACUCAAUUGGAAUAGAACUGUUUGAUGUUUACUCAAGUCUAUUUUAGGAAACAUGGCUGAUGUUUGUUUUGGAUCAUUUUCUUUCUAUCUCUCUCUCUCUCUCAGAUUACUCCAUCUUCUCUGUGGGCCAUCAGGGGGUUGCACAGCCCCCUCCAGCCCAGCAGAAUAAGACAACCUCCCCUCGCAAAGAUGUCUCUAUAUUUGCAGCUGGGAAAAAUCGUUUGGCUAAAGCCUUGAAACCCCUUGUGUGCAAAAAAAAAAAUGAAGGCAGAAUGCAUUCUUCAAGCAAUAUAAAAUAAUAAAAUCAUUUUAGCAUCAA